rnacentral:rRNA from 1 species
CAGUCGCCGCGGUAAAACGGAGGGUGCAAGCGUUAAUCGGAAUUACUGGGCGUAAAGCGCACGCAGGCGGUCUGUCAAGUCAGAUGUGAAAUCCCCGGGCUUAACCUGGGAACUGCAUUUGAAACUGGCAGGCUAGAGUCUUGUAGAGGGGGGUAGAAUUCCAGGUGUAGCGGUGAAAUGCGUAGAGAUCUGGAGGAAUACCGGUGGCGAAGGCGGCCCCCUGGACAAAGACUGACGCUCAGGUGCGAAAGCGUGGGGAGCAAACAGGAUUAGAGACCCCAGUAGUCCCUGUCUCUUAUAC